rnacentral:rRNA from 1 species
AAGCCUGAUGCAGCGACGCCGCGUGAGGGAUGACGGCCUUCGGGUUGUAAACCUCUUUCAGCAGGGAAGAAGCGAAAGUGACGGUACCUGCAGAAGAAGCGCCGGCUAACUACGUGCCAGCAGCCGCGGUAAUACGUAGGGCGCAAGCGUUGUCCGGAAUUAUUGGGCGUAAAGAGCUCGUAGGCGGCUUGUCACGUCGGGUGUGAAAGCCCGGGGCUUAACCCCGGGUCUGCAUCCGAUACGGGCAGGCUAGAGUGUGGUAGGGGAGAUCGGAAUUCCUGGUGUAGCGGUGAAAUGCGCAGAUAUCAGGAGGAACACCGGUGGCGAAGGCGGAUCUCUGGGCCAUUACUGACGCUGAGGAGCGAAAGCGUGGGGAGCGAACAGGAUUAGAUACCCUGGUAGUCCACGCCGUAAACGUUGGGAACUAGGUGUUGGCGACAUUCCACGUCGUCGGUGCCGCAGCUAACGCAUUAAGUUCCCCGCCUGGGGAGUACGGCC